rnacentral:rRNA from 1 species
UACGUAGGGGGCUAGCGUUGUCCGGAAUCAUUGGGCGUAAAGAGCGUGUAGGCGGCUUGGUAGGUCCGCUGUGAAAACUCGAGGCUCAACCUCGAGAUGUCGGCGGAAACCACUUGGCUAGAGUCCGGAAGAGGAGAGUGGAAUUCCUGGUGUAGCGGUGAAAUGCGCAGAUAUCGGGAAGAACACCCGUGGCGAAGGCGGUUCUCUGGGACGGUACUGACGCUGAGACGCGAAAGCGUGGGGAGCGAACAGG